rnacentral:ncRNA from 1 species
CAAGGUUUGGUCCUAACCUUGACAUCAGUUAUUACUUAAUAUACACAUGCAAGUCUCCGCGCCCCUGUGAAAACGCCCUUAAAUCCCCACUAGGGAUAAGGAGCUGGUAUCAGGCACUAUAAUUUGCCCAAGACACCUAGCUAUGCCACACCCACAAGGGAUCUCAGCAGUGAUUAACAUUGAACAUAAGCGACAGCUUGAUUCAGUUAAAGUAAGAUAGAGCCGGCAAAUCUGGUGCCAGCCGCCGCGGUUACACCACGUGGCUCAAAUUGAUAACUAUCGGCGUAAAGCGUGAUUAAAGUUCAAUAACCAUUAGAGUUAAACUAAAACUAAGCUGUGACACGCUUGUGCUUAAGAAACCCAAAAACGAAAGUUACUCCAACUUAACCAACUUGAACUCACGACAGCUAAGACACAAACUGGGAUUAGAUACCCCACUAUGCUUAGCCGUAAACUUUAAAUUACACCCACAUCGCCAGGGAACUACGAGCAAAGCUUAAAACCCAAAGGACUUGACGGUACCCCAUAUCCACCUAGAGGAGCCUGUCCUAUAAUCGAUACCCCCCGCUAAACCUCACCACUUUUAGUCUACUCAGCCUGUAUACCUCCGUCGUCAGCUUACCACGUGAGCGCAACUUAGUGAGCUUAAUGCCCGUGCGCCAAUACGUCAGGUCAAGGUGCAGCAAAUGAAGUGGGAAGAGAUGGGCUACACUCUCUAACAUAGAAAAAACGGAAGAUUAUUUAUGAAACCUAAUCUAAAGGCGGAUUUAGAAGUAAAAAGAAAAAAGAAUGUCCUUUUUAACCCGGCACUGGGGUGUGUACACACCGCCCGUCACCCUCUUCAUAGCCACCAAAAAGUAAAUAACCAACUAAUGCAACACAGAAGAGGCAAGUCGUAACAUGGUAAGUAUACCGGAAGGUGUGCUUGGAAAACGAAGUGUAGCUUAAAUAAAGCAUUUCGCUUACACCGAAAAAAUAUCUGUGAAACCCGGAUCCCUUCGAGCUGAAAGUUUAGCCCAAAUUUAACACAUGUUGCACAAUAAACUGCAUCCACCAACUAAAACAUUCCAAUACUUUAGUAUAGGCGAUAGAAAAACUACUUGGAGCUACAUAAUAUAGUACCGUAAGGGAAAAAUGAAAUAAAAAUGAAAUAAUCACUAAGCACAAAAAAGUAGAGAUUAUUCCUCGUACCUUUUGCAUCAUGGUUUAACUAGUCUAAUCAAGCAAAAUGACUUAAAGUUUGACCUCCCGAAACUAAGCGAGCUACUUCAAGGCAGCUUUAUGAGCAAACCCGUCUCUGUUGCAAAAGAGUGGGAAGACCUUCAAGUAGGGGUGACAGACCUAACGAGCUUAGUGAUAGCUGGUUACUCAAGAAAAGAAUUUAAGUUCAGCCUAAAAUUAAUCAAAUAUAAUUAAAAUACUGUUCCGAUUUUAGCGUAAUUCAAAUAAGGUACAGCCUAUUUGAAAAAGGACACAACCUCGACCAUUGGGUAAUUUAAACCUCACGCUCAACAAAGUGGGCCUAAAAGCAGCCAUCUUUUAAAAAGCGUCAAAGCUUAGUUGAGCUUACCAUUAAUUCCCUUACUACCUAAGAACCCUUAAACAAUAUUGAGUGAUUCUAUACUUAUAUAGAAGAUUUUAUGUUAAAACUAGUAACAAGGAGAAGUACUCCUAUUACAAUGCAAGCGUAAAUCAGACAGGACACACCACUGAUAAUUAACAUCUAUGAAAAUAAAGUAGUAACUUAACAAGAAAACCCUACUAAUUGUUAUAUGUUAACCUAACACCAGAGCAUUACAAAAAAGAUUAAAAGAAAAAGAAGGAACUCGGCAAAUUUUAACCUCGCCUGUUUACCAAAAACAUCGCCUCUUGAAUAAUUAUAAGAGGUCCAGCCUGCCCAGUGACAUUGUUCAACGGCCGCGGUAUCCUAACCGUGCGAAGGUAGCGUAAUCACUUGUUCUUUAAAUAAGGACUAGUAUGAAUGGCACCACGAAGGUUACACUGUCUCCUUUUUCUAAUCAGUGAAACUAAUCUCCCCGUGAAGAAGCGGGGAUAAACAUAUAAGACGAGAAGACCCUAUGGAGCUUUAAACCAUGCGACACUUGCACCAAUUUUGCACAAAUUUCAGAAAAAUCUACUCUACUUAUGCAAGAUGAUCGCCAGUUUUAGGUUGGGGUGACCGCGGAGCAAAAAACAACCUCCACAUUGAAAGGAACUUACUCCUCAGCUAAGAGCCACACCUCCAUGCACCAAUACAAUGACAUUAAUUGACCCAAUAAUUUGAUCAACGAACCAAGUUACCCUAGGGAUAACAGCGCAAUCCACUUCAAGAGCCCCUAUCGACAAGUGGGUUUACGACCUCGAUGUUGGAUCAGGGUAUCCCGGUGGUGCAGCCGCUACCAAAGGUUCGUUUGUUCAACGAUUAAAACCCUACGUGAUCU